CAUUUGAUCGUACAGUUUACUUGGAUAACUGUGGUAAUUCUAGAGCUAAUACAUGCGAGAAGCGCCGACCUCGCGGGAGGCGUGCAUUUAUCAGACCAAAAACCGGCCGCGUCUUCGGGCGCGUUCGCCUUGGUGACUCUGGAUAACUUUGCGGAUCGCACGGUCUAGCACCGGCGACGGAUCAUUCAAGUGUCUGCCCUAUCAACUUUCGUCGGUACGGUAUUUGCCUACCGAGGUUCUUACGGGUGACGGGGAAUCAGGGUUCGAUUCCGGAGAGGGAGCCUGAGAAACGGCUACCACAUCCAAGGAAGGCAGCAGGCGCGCAAAUUACCCAUUCCCGACGCGGGGAGGUAGUGACGAAAAAUAACAAUGCAGGACUCGUUCGAGGCCCUGUAAUUGGAAUGAGUACACUUUAAAAGCUUUAACGAGUAUCCAUUGGAGGGCAAGUCUGGUGCCAGCAGCCGCGGUAAUUCCAGCUCCAAAAGUAUAUAUUUAAGUUGUUGCGGUUAAAAAGCUCGUAGUUGGAUUUUGGGCGCAGGCGGCCGGUCCGUCGCAAGGCGUGUACUGGACGUCCUGGCCUUCCCUCCGGUUCUCCGCCGGUGCUCUUGACUGAGUGUCGGCGGCGGCCGGAACGUUUACUUUGAAAAAAUUAGAGUGUUCAAAGCAGGCUCUCGAGCCUGGAUAAUGGUGCAUGGAAUAAUGGAAUAGGACCUCGGUAUCUAUUUUGUUGGUUUUCGGAGCGCGAGGUAAUGAUUAAGAGGGACAGACGGGGGCAUUCGUACU
rnacentral:ncRNA from 1 species